rnacentral:tRNA from 1 species
GUAUUAGAUAUAAAUAUACCUAUCUAAUCUAAGUAAUAAAUGACAGUGAAAGAAAUGAAGUUUUCACCCCCGUCCUUUCCAACA